UGACUGACCGAUAGUGAACCAGUACCGUGAGGGAAAGGCGAAAAGAACCCCGGCGAGGGGAGUGAAAAAGAACCUGAAACCGUGUACGUACAAGCAGUGGGAGCCUCUUUAUGGGGUGACUGCGUACCUUUUGUAUAAUGGGUCAGCGACUUAUAUUCUGUAGCAAGGUUAACCGAAUAGGGGAGCCGAAGGGAAACCGAGUCUUAACUGGGCGUUAAGUUGCAGGGUAUAGACCCGAAACCCGGUGAUCUAGCCAUGGGCAGGUUGAAGGUUGGGUAACACUAACUGGAGGACCGAACCGACUAAUGUUGAAAAAUUAGCGGAUGACUUGUGGCUGGGGGUGAAAGGCCAAUCAAACCGGGAGAUAGCUGGUUCUCCCCGAAAGCUAUUUAGGUAGCGCCUCGUGAAUUCAUCUCCGGGGGUAGAGCACUGUUUCGGCAAGGGGGUCAUCCCGACUUACCAACCCGAUGCAAACUGCGAAUACCGGAGAAUGUUAUCACGGGAGGCACACGGCGGGUGCUAACGUCCGUCGUGAAGAGGGAAACAACCCAGACCGCCAGCUAAGGUCCCAAAGUCAUGGUUAAGUGGGAAACGAUGUGGGAAGGCCCAGACAGCCAGGAUGUUGGCUUAGAAGCAGCCAUCAUUUAAAGAAAGCGUAAUAGCUCACUGGUCGAGUCGGCCUGCGCGGAAGAUGUAACGGGGCUAAACCAUGCACCGAAGCUGCGGCAGCGACACUAUGUGUUGUUGGGUAGGGGAGCGUUCUGUAAGCCUGUGAAGGUGGCCUGUGAGGGUUGCUGGAGGUAUCAGAAGUGCGAAUGCUGACAUAAGUAACGAUAAAGCGGGUGAAAAGCCCGCUCGCCGGAAGACCAAGGGUUCCUGUCCAACGUUAAUCGGGGCAGGGUGAGUCGACCCCUAAGGCGAGGCCGAAAGGCGUAGUCGAUGGGAAACAGGUUAAUAUUCCUGUACUUGGUGUUACUGCGAAGGGGGGACGGAGAAGGCUAUGUUGGCCGGGCGACGGUUGUCCCGGUUUAAGCGUGUAGGCUGGUUUUCCAGGCAAAUCCGGAAAACCAAGGCUGAGGCGUGAUGACGAGGCACUACGGUGCUGAAGCGACAAAUGCCCUGCUUCCAGGAAAAGCCUCUAAGCAUCAGGUAACAUCAAAUCGUACCCCAAACCGACACAGGUGGUCAGGUAGAGAAUACCAAGGCGCUUGAGAGAACUCGGGUGAAGGAACUAGGCAAAAUGGUGCCGUAACUUCGGGAGAAGGCACGCUGAUAUGUAGGUGAAGCGACUUGCUCGUGGAGCUGAAAUCAGUCGAAGAUACCAGCUGGCUGCAACUGUUUAUUAAAAACACAGCACUGUGCAAACACGAAAGUGGACGUAUACGGUGUGACGCCUGCCCGGUGCCGGAAGGUUAAUUGAUGGGGUUAGCGGUAACGCGAAGCUCUUGAUCGAAGCCCCGGUAAACGGCGGCCGUAACUAUAACGGUCCUAAGGUAGCGAAAUUCCUUGUCGGGUAAGUUCCGACCUGCACGAAUGGCGUAAUGAUGGCCAGGCUGUCUCCACCCGAGACUCAGUGAAAUUGAACUCGCUGUGAAGAUGCAGUGUACCCGCGGCAAGACGGAAAGACCCCGUGAACCUUUACUAUAGCUUGACACUGAACAUUGAGCCUUGAUGUGUAGGAUAGGUGGGAGGCUUUGAAGUGUGGACGCCAGUCUGCAUGGAGCCGACCUUGAAAUACCACCCUUUAAUGUUUGAUGUUCUAACGUUGGCCCGUAAUCCGGGUUGCGGACAGUGUCUGGUGGGUAGUUUGACUGGGGCGGUCUCCUCCUAAAGAGUAACGGAGGAGCACGAAGGUUGGCUAAUCCUGGUCGGACAUCAGGAGGUUAGUGCAAUGGCAUAAGCCAGCUUGACUGCGAGCGUGACGGCGCGAGCAGGUGCGAAAGCAGGUCAUAGUGAUCCGGUGGUUCUGAAUGGAAGGGCCAUCGCUCAACGGAUAAAAGGUACUCCGGGGAUAACAGGCUGAUACCGCCCAAGAGUUCAUAUCGACGGCGGUGUUUGGCACCUCGAUGUCGGCUCAUCACAUCCUGGGGCUGAAGUAGGUCCCAAGGGUAUGGCUGUUCGCCAUUUAAAGUGGUACGCGAGCUGGGUUUAGAACGUCGUGAGACAGUUCGGUCCCUAUCUGCCGUGGGCGCUGGAGAACUGAGGGGGGCUGCUCCUAGUACGAGAGGACCGGAGUGGACGCAUCACUGGUGUUCGGGUUGUCAUGCCAAUGGCACUGCCCGGUAGCUAAAUGCGGAAGAGAUAAGUGCUGAAAGCAUCUAAGCACGAAACUUGCCCCGAGAUGAGUUCUCCCUGACUCCUUGAGAGUCCUGAAGGAACGUUGAAGACGACGACGUUGAUAGGCCGGGUGUGUAAGCGCAGCGAUGCGUUGAGCUAACCGGUACUAAUGAACCGUGAGGCUUAACCUU
rnacentral:rRNA from 1 species